GAUUAACGCUAGCGGCAGGCCUAAUACAUGCAAGUCGAGGGGUAAUAGGUAGCAAUAUCUAUGAGACCGGCGCACGGGUGCGUAACACGUUUGCAAUCUACCUCUAACUGGGGGAUAGCCUUCCGAAAGGAAGAUUAAUACCGCAUAAUACUUUGAUGUGGCAUCACAUUAUAGUCAAAACUCCGGUGGUUAGAGAUGAGCAUGCGCAACAUUAGCUAGNGGUGAGGUAAUGGCUCACCAAGGCUACGAUGUUUAGGGGGUCUGAGAGGAUGAUCCCCCACACUGGUACUGAGACACGGACCAGACUCCUACGGGAGGCAGCAGUAAGGAAUAUUGGUCAAUGGGCGCAAGCCUGAA
rnacentral:rRNA from 1 species